rnacentral:rRNA from 1 species
AUUGAACGCUGGCGGCAGGCCUAACACAUGCAAGUCGAGCGAGCGGCGGACGGGUGAGUAAAGUAUGGGGACUGACCGAUAGGGGGGGGGAAAUACUGGGAACAGGAGCUAAAAUCGCAUAUUCUCGGAUAUCCCAUAUGGGAUUAGCUAGUAGGUGAGGUAAUGGCUCACCGAGGCUACGCGCCCUAGCUGGUCGGAGAGGAUAAUCAGCCACACUGGGACUGAGACACGGCCCAGACUCCUACGGAGGCAGCAGUGGGGAAUAUUGCACAAUGGGCGCAAGCAUGAUGCAGCCAUGCCGCGUGUAUGAAGAAGGCCUUAGGGUUGUAAAGUACUUUCAGUCGGGAGGCGUUACCGAAAGAAGAAGCACCGGCUAACUCCGUGCCAGCAGCCGCGGUAAUUC